CUGCAACUGAAACUACUUUUCUNGAGUGUUGAAGGGGAAAGUGGAAUUCCUAGUGUAGCGGUGAAAUGCGUAGAGAUUAGGAGGAACACCAGUGGCGAAGGCGACUUUCUGGGCAACAACUGACGCUGAGNCACGAAAGUGUGGGGAGCAAACAGGAUUAGAUACCCUGGUAGUCCACACCGUAAACGAUGGAUACUAGGAGUUGGCAAAAAUAUUGUCGGUUCCGCAGUUAACGCAUUAAGUAUCCCACCUGGGGAGUACGACCGCAAGGUUAAAACUCAAAGGAAUUGACGGGGGCCCGCACAGCAGUGGAGUAUGUGGAUUAAUUCGAAGCAGCGCGAAGAACCUUACCAGGGCUUGACAUAUACAGGAAUAUAUAAGAGAUUAUAUAGCUCUACGGAGUCUGUAUACAGGUGGUGCAUGGUUGUCGUCAGCUCGUGUCGUGAGAUGUUGGGUUAAGUCCCGUAACGAGCGCAACCCCUAUGGCUAGUUGCUAACAUUAAGUUGAGGACUCUAGCAAGACUGCCGUUGUUAAAACGGAGGAAGGUGGGGACGUCGUCAAAUCAUCAUGCCCUUUAUGUCCUGGGCUACACACGUACUACAAUGGGUAAGACAGAGGGAAGCGAAAGUGCGAACUGGAGCAAAACCCUAAACUUAUUCUCAGUUCGGAUUGGAGUCUGAAAUUCGGCUCCAUGAAGCUGGAAUUGGUAGUAAUGGCAGGUCAGCAUACUACCGUGAAUACGUUCCCGGGCCUUGUACACACCGCCCGUCACACCAUGAGAGUUGGGAAUACCCGAAGCCUGUGAGCUAACUUUUUAAGAGGCAGCAGUCGA
rnacentral:rRNA from 1 species